rnacentral:rRNA from 1 species
GUCCACGCCCUAAACGAUGUCAACUAGGUGUUGGAUGGGUAAACCAUUUAGUACCGGAGCUAACGCGUGAAGUUGACCGCCUGGGGAGUACGGCCGCAAGGUUAAACUCAAAGGAAUUGACGGGGACCCGCACAAGCGGUGGAUGAUGUGGAUUAAUUCGAUGCAACGCGAAAACCUUACCUACCCUUGACAUGUCAGGAAGUCUUGAGAGAUUGAGAUGUGCCCGAAAGGGAACCUGAACACAGGUGCUGCAUGGCUGUCGU